GACGAACGCUGGCGGCGUGCUUAACACAUGCAAGUCGAACGGAAAGGCCCAGCUUGCUGGGUACUCGAGUGGCGAACGGGUGAGUAACACGUGGGUGAUCUGCCCUGCACUCUGGGAUAAGCCUGGGAAACUGGGUCUAAUACCGGAUAUGACCGACUGUCGCAUGGUGGUUGGGGGAAAGCUUUUGCGGUGUGGGAUGGGCCCGCGGCCUAUCAGCUUGUUGGUGGGGUAAUGGCCUACCAAGGCGACGACGGGUAGCCGACCUGAGAGGGUGAUCGGCCACACUGGGACUGAGACACGGCCCAGACUCCUACGGGAGGCAGCAGUGGGGAAUAUUGCACAAUGGGCGCAAGCCUGAUGCAGCGACGCCGCGUGAGGGAUGACGGCCUUCGGGUUGUAAACCUCUUUCACCAGGGACGAAGCGUGAGUGACGGUACCUGGAGAAGAAGCACCGGCCAACUACGUG
rnacentral:rRNA from 1 species